CCCGCUGAACUUAAGCAUAUCAAUAAGCGGAGGAAAAGAAACUAACAAGGAUUCCCCUAGUAACUGCGAGUGAAGCGGGAAAAGCUCAAAUUUAAAAUCUGGUGGCCUUUGGCCAUCCGAGUUGUAAUUUAGAGAAGCGUCUUCCGCGCUGGACCGUGCACAAGUCUCCUGGAAUGGAGCGUCGUAGAGGGUGAGAAUCCCGUCUUUGGCACGGACGCCCAGUGCUUCUGUGAUGCGCUCUCGAAGAGUCGAGUUGUUUGGGAAUGCAGCUCAAAAUGGGUGGUGAACUCCAUCUAAAGCUAAAUAUUGGCGAGAGACCGAUAGCGAACAAGUACCGUGAGGGAAAGAUGAAAAGCACUUUGGAAAGAGAGUUAAACAGUACGUGAAAUUGUUGAAAGGGAAACGCUUGGAGUCAGUCGCGUUUGUUAGAACUCAGCUUGGCUUCUGCUUAGUGUACUUUCUAAUGAACGGGCCAACAUCGAUUUCAGUCAGUGGAUAAGGGUAAGAGGAAUGUGGCACCUUCGGGUGUGUUAUAGCCUCUUAUCGUAUACAUUUACUGGGAUCGAGGUCUGCAGCACUUGUGCUUAGGAUGUUGGCAUAAUGGCUUUAAUCGACCCGUCUUGAAACACGG
rnacentral:rRNA from 1 species